rnacentral:lncRNA from 1 species
AAAAGGUUAAUGUCUCGGUCCCACAAAAUAUCCACCGAAACAAAAACUAAUUAUAUUUUUGGUAUCUAAAAGAAUUUAAGUGAUUUUGUUUUAAUUUUUUUUUUCAAAGUUUUGGUUCUUUUUUCAAAUUUUAUGAAAUUAUUUUUAAACUAUUAAUGGUGUUAAUGUUUAUUUUAACGUGACAAAUGGUAAUUUCAGUAUUUCGUUUCGAUAUGUGGUCAAUUAUUUCAUUUAGAAAUAUUUUUUAGUUUUUAUUUCAUCUUUUUUUUUCAAAUAAGUGUUUCUUUUCCAAAUUUCUACCUUGUUCUCCGACAUUCAUCUAGAUCAAGAGAUUUCUUCUCCCAA